UGGCUCAGUCGGUGGAGCAUGAGACUCUUGAUCUUGGGGACAUGAGUUCGAGCCCCACAAUGGGCA
rnacentral:tRNA from 1 species